rnacentral:rRNA from 1 species
AUACGGAGGAUCCGAGCGUUAUCCGGAUUUAUUGGGUUUAAAGGGUGCGCAGGCGGCCAUUUAAGUCAGCGGUUAAAUCGUGGGGCUCAACCCCGUUCUGCCGUUGAUACUGGGUGGCUUGAUUGCGGUCGAGGUUGGCGGAAUUCGUUGUGUAGGGGUGAAAUCUGUAGAUAUCUGGAAGAACACCAAUGGCGAAGGCAGGCAUCUGGCCAUGUACUGACGCUGAGACGCGAAGGUGCGGGGAGCAAACAGGUUUAGAUACCCUGGUAGUCCGCACAGUAAACGAUGUGCACCAGGUGGCGGGGGGUCGACCCCCGGUACCGUAGCUAACGCAUUAAGUGCACCGCCUGGGGAGUAUGCUCGCAAGGGUGAAACUCAAAGGAAUUGACGGGG